GACCUUCCUACAACGUUGUACCAACCUUGCAAAAAGGUUGAGGAUUCUACGUUGUUGCUAAACGUUGUCACAACGAUGUCAUAAGGUUGCCAUUUAAACAUCACGAGGGCCGCAUACUUUAGGUUGUGCUUAGGUGGCGUGGACAACCACUGUACAACAUUUACUGGUCACAGCUGAAUCAGUUUAAAUUUCAACAAGCCGUCGUCUCAUUCAUCAACGACCGAGGAGACGCUAUUUUCACAUGGAGGAAAUCUUCUAUUGAUAAUUUCUGGGUUUUAAGUAUGUAAUUUUUUCAGCUGUUGAAUUCACCUCAGAUCAGUGUUGCUGUAAUUCCUGAUCUAUGGAAAGAAUAAUUGAAUGAGCGAGCAACGCCACAACUACAGGACCUCUUUCUCUUCUCAUAAUU